CAUUUUGUUUUCGAUGUUCGGACUUUCGAAUCGACGAUCGGCUCUGUUAGACUUGAUCUAGAGUAUUUGAAGUAUCUAGAAAAUAAAUUUUGCGAUUUUUCGAUAUCAUUUGCCUAGUGAUCGAAGUGGCACAAAAUCAACGGUUGAAAAUAAAAAUCUUACAAAAUAUGAUGAUAUGACAUUAAAAUUUUAGAUCAAAGUUAUUGAUCUUGUUUUAUAUGGUAUAAAGAAUUUUGUAUCAAAAUUUCAUCUAAUUUGAAUACUUCUAUACCGUUAAACUUGAAAACGGCAGAUAUCAACCAUUAAAAAUUAUUGAUUUUGAACGCUCUCGAUCACUAGGUAAAUGAUAUCAAAAAAUCGCAAAAAUUAUUUUCUAGAAACUUCAAAUGCGUUAGAUCAAGUCUAACGGAGCCGAUCGUCGAUUCGAAAAUUCCAUCAUCGAAAAUGACUCAGGAGCACGAAGGCCUCUGUGCUCCUAAGAGAACAGCAGUCCUGCUCUAUAUAUAUAUAGAGAGAGAGAGAGCAGGGCUGCUGUGCUCUCAGGAGCACGAAGGCCUCCGUGCUCCUGAGCCAUUUUCGAUGAUGGAAUUUCUGAAUCGAUGAUCGGUUCCGUUAGACUUGAUCUAGCGUAUUUGAAGUUUCUAGAAAAUAAUUUUGCGAUUUUUUUAUAUCAUUUACCUAGCAAUCGAAAUAAUUCAAAAUCAAUAAUUUUUAACGGCUGAAAAUAAAAAUCCUAUAAAAAAGUGGUGAUAUAGCACUAAAAUUUUUGAUCAGAAAUAUUGAUCUUAUUGUAGAUAGUAUAAAGAAUUUUUUAUCAAAAUGUCAUUUGAUUUGAAUGCUUCUACACCGUUAAACUUGAAAACGGCAGAUAUCAACCAUUAAAAAUUAUUAAUUUUGAAUCCUUUCGAUCAUUAGGUAAAUGAUAUAGU
rnacentral:lncRNA from 1 species